CCCUUCUCCCCUUCUCUCUCACAAGAUCAAGUGGCCCCUUCACAUAACUUAUCUACCGCUGUAGGAGACUUCACGGUGCACUGAUACAGCCCUUUCGCAACAAAAACAUGCAGACAAGAAUAUAUAUUUUACUGUGAAGAAUUAUUGCAAAGUUAAUGGACUUUAUGACAUUCUUUCGGAUACAUCGAAAGUAGGCUACCUUUUCUUUUUACUUUUUUAACCAUUGUAGGGUGCAAUGAGUGAUUAACUUUCUACCGGGAUUAAUAACAGAGGAUUCUGGGAGAACAACAACAAUCAAAGGUUCUGAAGUCUGAACGCACCCUGGUCCUGACUUUUGACCUCUAGCCAUGUCUCAGAGUAACCCCUCCUUCCAGCUCCUCCAGGCUCUGAGGAAGUCUCCCGCCGUGUUCCGCCGCCGGUUCCACCUCCAGCCCAACCGCAUCGCUACCCUCUCCCACGGGGAUCCCCUCUACAAGGUGCUCUACCUGGGCACUGAGAAAAUCUACUCAUGAGAGACUGCUGCCAAACGGAUUCUUAUUAUGGACUUGAAUAAAGCUAAGGGUGUGACUCAAAAGCCCCACAUGCCACAGAGCACCCCUUUAUCACCACCAACAGGAUCAUUGUGUUUACGCCUGAGCACUAUUUUGGCUUGGKGUGAUUUUUUMAAAUUUAACUAGGCAAGUCAGUUAAGAACAAAUUCWUAUUUACAAUGCYGGCCUACCCCGGCCAAACCUGGACGAAGCGRGGCUAAUUGUGCGCCGCCCUAUGGGACUCCCAAUCAYGGCCGGAUGUGAYACAGCCUGGAUGAACUGGACUCCCUCUACUCAGUAGUGUUAUGUUUCCCUCUGGUAGUAAUUUAACAUCAUCAUAUGAUAAACAUGAAGACACCUAGACAGGGWCAGGAGCAYACUAGKUAUUUAUWUAYUUUCAGCCUAUUGAGGUAACUUGUCUGUAACUAGGUUUCCAUCCAAUUGGUGACAGAUUUUCAUGCAAAUAUUUUACAAUCAGUAUAAAAACAGCAUAUUUUCCCAACAGCGMUGUGUUUCCAUCAAAUAAYGUAGUGCACAUAAAAAAWACUUUUUCUGUAAAAUUCCUGUGUACCGAAUAAAAAUWMAAGUUAAAUGGGUUUCCAUUGCA